rnacentral:rRNA from 1 species
GACGAACGCUGGCGGCGUGCCUAAUACAUGCAAGUCGAACGCUUUUUCUUUCACCGGAGCUUGCUCCACCGAAAGAAAAAGAGUGGCGAACGGGUGAGUAACACGUGGGUAACCUGCCCAUCAGAAGGGGAUAACACUUGGAAACAGGUGCUAAUACCGUAUAACACUAUUUUCCGCAUGGAAGAAAGUUGAAAGGCGCUUUUGCGUCACUGAUGGAUGGACCCGCGGUGCAUUAGCUAGUUGGUGGGGUAACGGCUCACCAAGGCAACGAUGCAUAGCCGACCUGAGAGGGUGAUCGGCCACACUGGGACUGAGACACGGCCCAGAAUCCUACGGGAGGCAGCAGUAGGGAAUCUUCGGCAAUGGACGAAAGUCUGACCGAGCAACGCCGCGUGAGUGAAGAAGGUUUUCGGAUCGUAAAACUCUGUUGUUAGAGAAGAACAAGGAUGAGAGUAAAACGUUCAUCCCUUGACGGUAUCUAACCAGAAAGCCACGGCUAACUACGUGCCAGCUGCCGCAGUAA